rnacentral:lncRNA from 1 species
AUAUUUAUAUGUUACCAGGAAUAUUCUUUACCAUAUUAUUCCUAAAACAAACAAUUCAAAUAAUGAUUUCAUCAAUCCUAAGUUGGAAAUACCACAAAAGUUGUAUUAAUAAAAACUUCAUGCAUUAACUCAUACACAGAGUAGACACAAAAUAUCUAACAUUACGUAAUACUAUAAGUUUAAUACUUAGUAAUAUAAAUUUAGAAAAAUGACAAAAUAUAGAUUUUCUUUAAGUUUUAUUUUUAAUACAAGUCUAAAACAACAUCAUCUAACUCAUUUAAGUUUAUCGAACUCACUGUCAACUUUGUCACCCUCUUCAUUACAGAUAUUGUCCUCUUAAAGUUCAACACAUAAUAUUUCCCAUCACUUGCAUCACACUCUUUAAAUCUCUCACUUACGCCACCAUUCUCUUCAUCAUAAUCAUUGAUACCUUGCUGCAUAAGAACAUGAAAAUAAAAUACAAGUAAACAAAAUCGGUCAAGACAGUUCUUACAAAAAUCCAAGACAAACAAAAUUAACUAUUACCAUUUUUUUAACUGCAAAUGUAAUAUUAACAAGAUAAUGUAUAAAGAGGAUAUCAAAUUAAUACAAGAGAAAGCACCAGACUAAAGAAACAUAAGAUCAAAAUAAAACCCAACAACUAUGUGUUGUAACAAUUUUCAUAUAGUAUUGUUCACUGGUUGUCAUUUGACAACGGUCAUGGGUUUUUCUCUGAUUUUAGAAUUUUCACAUUAAUCUCUUAUGUUGUUAUUGUGUUCCUCUUUUUCUCUAUGUUUUGUUUGUUUUUUUCCAACAUACUUAAGAGUUUAUUAUAAAAAAUUAAAUAAUAAUGCCUAAGCAAGCCACAAAUUGGAUUUUUGAACAACUCAAAGACAAUAAUCUCUACCGUCUACAUCAUAACAAAAUUAGUGAUCCAACUUCUUAAUAAUAUAUGUGUGGUCGCCAGAAACUGGUAACCAAUUGGCUUUGCUGCAUAUAAAUUUAAUAUAAAUGAAAUAUGUGGCAAGGUUUUGAAUGAUCAACUUUAACCAAUAAAAUAAUGUUUUUGAGGCGUGAAAUAAUGCAUUGAAAUUAUUGAUGUAAUUAGCUUUCUUUAAGCACUAAUGAUAUUGAAGAUUAUCUUCACAUCUCCAUUUUCACCAACUAUACCCUAACAAUUAAAGAUAACAAAUUGUUAGUUGAUAAUUAACACUACAUUCUAACUCUGCCCAGAAACAUACACAAUAUAUAGUGUUGAAUGUGAGUAAGUACAUGGUAGAUGAACAUAAUGAUAAUGUAUUAUGAUUCAAGAAUGCAUGACAUGUAUAUAUAUGCAUUUGUCAUAUAAUCUCUUGUUUCAUCCUCCUAAGCUUCCAACAAAUAGUAUAUUAAUUUACUUCUUGUUAUAUAAAAAAUUGAUUAAUGUAUCCAUGUGGCUAAAUGUUAUUGCUAGUAAAGCUUAAUUUUGAAAAGUUAAAAAAUAUGUUAAAAGAUUAACAAUAUACCAUAACAAUAAAGAGAAAGUAAAAACAUAAAUAAUAAACUUACACAAAAGAACAUAGGAAGCUAAAACGACACAAGAAUACUCAGUAACCAAGACAGGAAUUCAAAUUCAAUUCAUUGAGAAAAAAGAAACUAAAAGUUAAUGUAUGAAAUUCAAACUCAUUCAAUAUAUUGAUAUUGAAUUGCACCUGCAAUGAGUUAAUUUUUAGUUUUUCAAAAAAAUUAUAUAAUAAAUAUGUAUGAGUUUAAUAAGUAGUUUGUGUUUGCCUUGUCAUUUAUAAGUAUAUAAUCUUAAAAUUUUAAAUUUCUUUGGUGAAUGUUUUUAUUUUAAUAAUUUUAUCUUUUGGAGGAAUGGUUAAAUAAAAUGUUGUGAUAUUUGGAGGAAAGCUGUCAUAUUUUUUUGUUAUUUUAAAUUUUUUAUGCAACAUUUGAAAAUGUAAUCUUUUAUUAAAAUAAUACAAUAAUUUAAAAUUGUUCCCAUAAAUAUAUAAGAGGACAUUGAUUACUUAUUGCCCAAAAAAAGAAUAUAUAUGAACGGUUAAAAACCGUGCCCAAAAAGUAUUUAAGGGGACAUUGAUUUGUUAUUGUCAAAGAUAAAUUAUAGGAAUGAUUAAAACUUGCGCCUAAAAGUAUUUUAGAGAAAUUUUAUGUGGCGUUGCGAGAAUUGUCUUGGCAACAGAUCAAAAUUGUUGCCUUAUCUUUUUUUAGGAAACAAUUUACACUUGUUGCGCAAAAAGUGUUGCAAGAAGAGAUAAAUGAUGUAGUAAAAUUCAAUAAAAUAUAUCUAGACUUUUAUUUUCUCUAUUUCCUCCGGUUAUGUAUUAGGAUUCAAAUUAUAGAUUUUAAAAUUUCCCUACAUCGUAUGAUUAUAUAUUGUGAUGCAAGAAUGUAUAAUUACAAGACUAAAAUAAGGAUAAUCCUAGAUUAAUCUUAUUUCGCUAAAUAAUAACAAAAUUUUACAAAUAAUUCAUAUAAUAUCUAUUAUCGGAGUACAUACUACGAAAUACUUGAACAUGGUAACAACUAUAACAAUACAUAGAUUAAAAGACAUGGAUAAAGUAAAUAAUGCAAAUAAAUAUAUGUGAAUAAAGGAAAGUUUACUAUUAGGUUUUCUCACAUAAUUACUUAACUCUUACAAGUCUCGUGGUUGAGGGGCUCUGUAUUUUCAUAUUUUUUUCACUUAAAACACUUCACCCCUACAUGCCUCG